rnacentral:rRNA from 1 species
GUUGAACGCUGGCGGCAUGCCUUACACAUGCAAGUCGAACGGCAGCAUGAUCUAGCUUGCUAGAUUGAUGGCGAGUGGCGAACGGGUGAGUAAUACAUCGGAACGUGCCCUGUAGUGGGGGAUAACUAGUCGAAAGAUUAGCUAAUACCGCAUACGACCUGAGGGUGAAAGUGGGGGACCGCAAGGCCUCAUGCUACAGGAGCGACCGAUGUCUGAUUAGCUAGUUGGUGAGGUAAAGGCUCACCAAGGCGACGAUCAGUAGCUGGUCUGAGAGGACGAUCAGCCACACUGGGACUGAGACACGGACCAGACUCCUACGGGAGGCAGCAGUGGGGAAUUUUGGACAAUGGGGGCAACCCUGAUCCAGCAAUGCCGCGUGUGUGAAGAAGGCCUUCGGGUUGUAAAGCACUUUUGUCCGGAAAGAAAUCGCACUUACUAAUAUUAGGUGUGGAUGACGGUACCGGAAGAAUAAGGACCGGCUAACUACGUGCCAGCCGCCGCGGUAACAC